GUUCUAAACAAAUAUGUUGGUGGAUUUUGAUGUGAGAGUACAACAGUGGAUAGACUUUUUCCACUGGAGGAAUUAUGGAUAGAGCACUCGUAUUUUAAGCAAAUUUUUAAAGCUGUUUGGACUCUCAUUCUGACGGCACCCAUUCACUGCAGAGGAUCCACUGUUAAGCAAGUGAUGUGAUGCUAAAUUUCUCUUGAAAUCUGUUCCAACAAAGAAACCAGCUCAUCUUGGAUACCCUGAGAUAAGACAGGCAUACAUGUAUGCAGUCUUGAAUUUCACAAAGAUCACUCCAAACAACUGAUCAUGCAUGCAGCCCAUAUGCUGAACUGACUGCCUUUGUGUCAAACAGCUGAAUACUGUAGGCAUUGAGAAUGUGAAUAACAGUGCAGCAUUACAAAAAAGCCAUGUUGUUGAUAUUGAAUCUUUUGUUACAAUGCUAGACGAAGGAAAGCCUUAUAUUCUGAGAAUAAAUUCUGAAAAAACUCUUGAAUCUGUGCUGAACUGACAGUUGAAGAGGUUGGAUGCAAGCAUGACAAAUGUGUU
ensembl:lncRNA